rnacentral:misc_RNA from 1 species
UGAAAUGCAAGGACGCUCUUUUUAGAGGUCCGACCCAAUUCAUUCCUUCACACUGUGCACAAACUACAUUUUACACAUUUUAUACACUAAAGUCUAAGAAUGUAAACGUCUCUUAAUUGAGCAUAAACUAUUA